rnacentral:rRNA from 1 species
GACAGAGGGUGCAAACGUUGUUCGGAAUUACUGGGCGUAAAGCGCGUGUAGGCGGCUAAGUAAGUCGGGCGUGAAAUCCCACGGCUCAACCGUGGAAGUGCACUCGAAACUGCAUAGCUAGAGUCCUGGAGAGGAAGGUGGAAUGCUUGGUGUAGAGGUGAAAUUCGUAGAUAUCAAGCGGAACACCGGUGGCGAAGGCGGCCUUCCUGGGACAGUGACUGACG